rnacentral:rRNA from 1 species
GGACUACAGGGGUUUCUAAUCCUGUUUGAUCCCCACGCUUUCGUGUAUGAGUGUCAGUAUUGGGCCAGAUCGCCGCCUUCGCCACCGGUGUUCCUCCUAAUAUCUACGUAUUUCACCACUACACUAGGAAUUCCACGAUCCUCUCCCAUACUCAAGUUUGACAGUUUUGAAUGCACGUCUUGGGUUAAGCCCAAGGAUUUCACAUCCAACUUUUCAAACAACCUGCACACGCUUUACGCCCAAUAAUUCCGAACAACGCUAGGACCCCCCGUCUUACCGCGGCUGCUGGCAC